UUCAAAGAUCUUCAGAAAAUGGCAUUUAAAAUGGUUUAGGGCUUUUCUUGACAAUGAGAAAUGUCUGCUCCUGGCAGCACCAAUUACAUCUGAGAGGAAGAUGGGCAUCGACUCCUGGCUGGAGUCUAAGAAAAGCAUAGAGGGUGUGGAGCUCUGGGCUCGGGCUGAGCUAGUGUGUGCGCUUCUGCUGCUGGACUUCAAACACACUUUGAAUCCGUUGCAAAGGUGCUGUGAAUAUAAAUACAACUAUCUCAGAAUUUACCGUUUGACAAACAUGUUCAGGCUCUCAUCUCUGUGCUUUAUCUUGCCUAGAAAUCCCGGUAGGCUUGCAACCAUGGAAACAGAGCCUAAAAUCCACAGCAAGUCCAGCCACAGCUGCCCUAGACCCUAGACAGCAAUCUUCAGGCACUGGGUGAAUGUGUACACAGCUUCCUCAGCGCUGCAGGUGCUCUAGAUCCAGCCUUUCUGCCUUCAGAUCUUGGCUCUGUCACUUGCCAGGUGCAUAGCCACAGGCUAUGUGCUUGUUCCUGCUGUGGAACUGAGUGUCUCAGGGGCUCUUUGUGAGUCUGGAGGCCAGAACCUCACACAAAGGAAGUGCUCAGCAAACAUCGGUAGUGAGUCUUGCUUAACAAGUCUUGUGCUUUAAUCCCUACACAGUGCAAUCCCUUCAGAAGGGAGAAAAGCAUGGCUUCUAUCUACCUCCAUGGCUUAGUCACAUGAGUUAACGUGGAGAAAGCUGGGAAGUACCCCUACCAGCAAGAUGUGAGAUCUGUCUUGGAAUAGGAACCACAACCCUAACCUGACUUCCUAUAUCUGUAGCAAGGCCAGCUAGAUACUCUGGUACUGAGAAAGAUGCUGUCCCUCUGCAGCCAGUCCUGUGCAAACUCCCCCAUAGUCCACAUUGAGGCAGUCCAUACCAACAUGGGGUCUUCUUCACCUUUCUUGGAUUCCACAGGUGCAGGCUGUUGCUCUCUAUUGAGGAAGAGUCACCCAGCCCUUCCAUCCUGAGUUCCCACGCUUUGCAUUCUUCUGUGUAAUUGUCAGUUAAGAGCAGUAUUGCUUGCUGGUACUGGAGACAGGGGGCACGACAGGCCCCACAGUGCUGUGUGAGGAAACCACCAGCCCCAACCAGAGGCGUAUCACAAACAUGGGAGGCAGGAUGAUCGCCAUCUUGACUGCAGAUUCUACUGAAAGCGGUGGGACAGAGGUUUACGGAGCUGAGAGAGAUAGUGAAACCAGCUGGAGCUUUCCAGAUGAUGUGCCUCUUAUGCAAGAUAACUCACAUGGACGAAACAGAAGUGUGGAGUUGGUGUGUAGGAGAAAUGGGAGCUACCCACCACGAUAGCCACAGGAGGACAAAAGGCCAAACUCAAUGGUUCCAAUCAGUUGUGGAAUGAUCUAUGCCCAGUCUCACUUCUUAAAAUAUUGGACAUAACAUCAAUGAGUUCCUGUGAAGCUGUACAGACUGGCCCUCUGAAAAGCGGUCUAGAUGCUCUGUGCCCACAGACAGCACUUGGAGUUCUGAUGUUGAGCCAUAUUUCUUAGAAGACGGGACACAUUAUUUUAAUGUGCACAAAAGUGCAGAAUUGGCAUUUGUAACCCAUGGUUUACUUGAAUAUGCUCUCCCCUGCAGUGAGAAAACCUUAAUUUAUUAUGCAUUCAUCACAUGUGCCUGUAGUUUUCUGGUUAGCUUAUGUGUUACCUGAUAGUGAAUUCCAUAAAGGAAAAAGACGAUAGCCUAUGAAUCAAUCCAUUUUUUAUGGCAGGCAUAUAAACAGAUGAUAAUUUUAAAAUGUG